GUUCACAUUCAAUCAGAUUCUCCCUCCGAACUUCGGAUGAAGCUGCCUAUGGAUGUGCUGCCCUUUCUCCUUUCCAAACGAAGUUCGGUCGUCUGUCUCCACACCACUACACAGCAGAGGGUGACACCACCUAUUAAGUCUCUCUUGGUUGUCAUCAGUGAGGGGGCGGCUGGCUGUGGACCUGCUCCAUGCUGGUGGCUUCAGAACGAUGUGGUGUCUUUAAAGGAACACAGGGGAGGAAGAGAGUGAGUGAACAGCAGGUGGACUUUCUGCUGUGCCGAAAUCAGUGCCUGGUGUUGUCUUUACUCACAGUCCUCUGAAGUGCUGUGUUGAUUGGCAGGAUGCACUUCUAUUUUCUUCUCCUCUGGUUGCUCUUCCUGAAGAGGGUGCAUGGAGUUGGCUGCACACGCACCUGGACCGGAAGGUGGGCGUGCCGUCCCUGUGCCCAGACGCACCCUGUUCGUGCUGCUCUGUGUCUGAGUCCCUCUCACCAGUCAGUUCAGGUCAGGACAGAGGCGGGACCAGCCGUCGUGGCUCCUCCCAGGCCUUCCCGACACCACCUGUCCGUCUGUCCUGCACACCACUGGUCUGUGCUCCUUGCCAGCUGAAUUUGGAGGGACAGCAAGCCUCCGGGGCACUUGGUGGAACCACACAGCAGAGAAGCCCUGGGUCCCUGAGUCCCUGUGUGGAGAGGAUGAGCCGUGGUGGCUCCCUGGCCCACAUCGUGGGACACAAGGACCAAGUAGAUUUCACCGAGCUCAAAUGCUGAAAAGUUAGUUAGGACCACUUACCAUUAUGACUUUCAUGGGCAGAGUCUCUGAUGGGCAAUUCAACUCUCCCUGGCUUGACUGCUGAGUAAGUGUCAGACUUUUGAUGAGUCACUUUGUGUCCCUCAUCUUCAUUUAGCCCCUGGCUGAAUGGGGUGUGUUGAUUCCACCCACCAGCAUUGCUUGUCCCUCUUCUCUGCCACGUUGGAAGAUAAAUCGAAGCCACCUGUGGAAGGAGAGCGCCUAUGAAGAUGAGGUAUCAUCAUUACCUCAUUCUGAGCACCCUUCUGCCAAGUACAUAGAAGAAAAUUAUUAAUCACCCCUUACCUGGACAGUGUCACCAUCCCACUGUUUUGUGACCCUUUGAAAAAGGCACAGUAUGACAAAGAUGAGGAAACAAGAACUCUUCUUCAGUGUGAGGCUGGUACUUCAUUUCUAACUGUUAUGCAGUUCCAGGACCCAGGAGCAACAGGAGUUGCGUUCCACUGAGCUGAUUUGUGUUACCAACCUUCUUGCAGGCAAGAUGCAGACAAUGAAAGAAUUUAAAGAGGUUGAGAAGGCCAAACUGCAUUCCAGAUGUCCAAGAAUUUCUAAUUCAAGGUGCUUUGUGACUUCAGAUGAGUGGCUUAGACUCCCUAUAAGUUACUUAGAGAGUGAAUUUUGUAAAGGGAGCAGGUAAUGGUUAAUAUUGUAGAAAUGGGAGGACUUCCGCCAAGAUGGAGGCGUAGGUAGAGAUGCCGUGCUUUCUCACACAACCAAGUUUAGAGACAACUAAAUAUUAGCAACGGAAAACACAGGCAGAACACAGAAAAUUGAACUUUUCAGAAGUCUGAUAACAACAAAUUCUUCAUUAUGACCAGUAAGGGGCAAAACCAGCAGCUGGCGGAGCGGGGUAGCACAGGAAAACUUGGUCAGACGGACUCAGGCGCUCGGAAUCCAGGCGCAGGGUUGGACCUAGUGAGAGACCCAGCGACCACGGGGAAACAGCGAGGGAGCAGGGCUGCGGGUUGACUGUGGUCUCGCAUUUGUGCACGCAUAGACAAGCGAGGGAGUGGGUGAUUGGACUGGGACCCAGUGGGUCCCCACGGUGAGCGGCAGCAGAGGGCGCCACCAUUUCCCCCGCUCUGACCCCACCUCCACAUACAGCGUCAUAACCCAGCGACCUGAGUGGCCCGGCCCUCGAGAACCACCUAAGGCUCUGCUCCUCACCCAGCGGUACGAAACAGCAGAGGGGGCCGCCAUUUCCCCACUCUGACCUCGCCCCACAUACAGCGUCACAACCCAGUGACCUAUGAGUCCAAGACUCCUCUCCUUAUACUUAAUGGGCGCGAACAGACCAAAAGUGGCUAAAGAAGAUCUCAAAGCCCCAGAGCCUAUAAAUCUAAGCAAUGAAGAAAUAGCAAAACUUUUA